CCAUGGAGCAUUGAGGUCGUCAUUCACCUGGAGCAGAGGUCAGCACCGGGGUCAUUCCCGUGGAGCACUGGACGGCUCUGGGAGAAACUCUGCACUCAGCACCUCCCUUUCUCAGCCAGCACUUAGAGCUGGAGGCACAGCUUCAGGAGAAGAAUGAGCUCCCUGAAAACUCGGAUUUAGUACUGAGAGGCGAGCCCAUGGGUACCCUUUCAGCAUCCAGGGGGUUUGCCUGCUGAGUAAAACCCAACAUCCAUUCAACAAGUACCAGAGGACCCAUUAUUGGCAAUGAAUGUAAAACGUGUCCUUUCCUCGGCGACUGGAGGUGGGAAGAAGGAACCUACUCUGGGUUUUACUUUCAAAGGAACGCUCUCCAUUUUGAAUUAAAGGGGGUGAGGCAGCAGGGUUUAGGGAAAGGGGGUAUUUUCUCCAGAGUGAGGAUCAACUAUAAAACAUCCAAGUCUAUUCUAAUGCUCCUCCCAGCAUGGCUGGGACACCGUCACAGAAGUGAUCACCGCUAACAUGAACAUUCUGGGCUACAGUGCAAACCCCUCACAACGCUACACACCAAAUCCAGCCUGAGACACAUGGUCGGAAUAACUUUGCCAACUCCUGUCCACCAGAGGCUCAAAGACUCAAGGCCGCCACAGGUCCUUCUGGAAUUGUCCCCCCAAACACCCCCGGAGCCACCACAUGUCUCAUGGCCCCAGGUGUGCAUCCAGGACCCAUGUUUGGUGCAAAUGCUGGUGACGUCACCUGAACAACUCCAAGAGGGGGUUUCCGCUGUGUACUCCACUGACAGGCUGGCCAGGACCCACCUCACUUCCCAGGGCUCAGUCCUACACUGUUCCCCUCGGAUGUCAAAGUCUGCAGCCACUAAGGAGACGAGCGGUCAGGUGACUUCAGUCAAUAACAGUGUGGGGUGGGGUUGGGGCUGAAGGCCAGGACUUUUAUGAAAUCAUUUAUUAAACAAAUUCAGAGGAAGUUUAACCAGCAGUCAAUACCCAAGACAGGAUUCCUCCAAUUUCUACCUGUUGCUCACUUAGAGCCUGUCACAUGAACUUUCCGUGUGAAAUGUGACUCCAGGGAGUACUGACAUGCAAAUACUGAAGUAUUAUGAAACAGCAGGGGCAGCCGCCUUUACUCGGGUGGAAACAGUGUGUCUCCUCACUGCAGUCCCUGCCUCCGGCCACUUCCCGUCCAUUUCUGUCCAGCCCUCCACUCCCUGCAAAAGCUCAAUCCCGCCUCGGCCGAUUCACCUCUGCCCUGUCAUCCAGACUUCCACCCUCAGCUCUGGAUCGCCCCCAAGUCUCACCAUGACACAUCACAGCCACUCCCUUCUGAGGAAGGCAGCAGAAAGGGCACCUGACUUAGAAUCCGAAGACUGGACUGACUUCUUGGUUCUAACUCCAGCUGAAACGCGCAUUUUCUCCCAGUGAGAACAGCUUAACUGUUUCACAGAACUUCCUUAGGAAUCCAAUGAGGUGUCUGUACAACCACUGUGUCACCACCAAGCCAUCGAAAGGUGUCGGCCCCUUGACAACUUGCCCGAUCCCUCCGCUCCCACCCGCAAGCCCCUCUGAAGCAGGCCAUUCCCACUCCUUCCAAUCCACUUCCGCACGCAGAUGCCAUACAGUAUCAUCGCUAGACUUCGACAGAUUAAAAUACCUUUUCAGUCAUCUGGAUCCUUCCAAGAGUUAGGGAAGCUCUGCCCCUGCAGAAAAGCUUCCCCACCCAAGCCCUGCUCCAGCACAGAAGCAGCAUAUAUUCUUACCCCCAGUGCCUUAAUUAAAGCACCAUGCCCAGCUCUCUGCCUGCAGCUCGGUGGGGCUGAGAAGCAGGAAACAGCCAGGAUUAAAUAACUUGUACACUUACACUGACCUUCUUUUGGUUGGUGCUGUCCAGUAGGGACACCCAUCUCUACUUUGGAAUAAAAGUCAGCAAAGUUUUAUUUAAAGAA